rnacentral:lncRNA from 1 species
CAAAGGCAUAAUUCACCAUAUCCCUUCCAAAUCAAGUAGAGUCCAUGUGCGUUUCAAUACAUUUAGCAAACGCAUGCUCCUAUGGUUUGGAGCCACUUGAUUCAGAUGAAUGAAGUCUGUUUAAGAUCUUCAUGUAUAUCUCUGAUCCCAUAGAGAUGUUAUUAUGACCACAUUCAUAGGCUGCAUGUUCAGUUAUUCGGAAACUACCAAACUAACAAAGUAGUGGAGUUCAAUGACAUCCAUUACGAGAGCAUAUCUCAUCGUAGUUGAUCCCAGUGCUUGUUAGUGAAAGACCUUGCGCCAUAAGGUGAGUCUAAGCUCUUACUCUCACUACGCUAUCUAACAAAGGCAUAGUUGAUAGGGUUUAGCUUGCGGUGUCGGCAUCACCUGCCCAAGGACCUAUCUCUUUGUUAAUGCUGGAUCGUAUCUUUCCAUUAGGCCAAUCAACUAAGUUGAUAUCCAUCAACGAAGGGUGGUUCGAUAGUAGACUCAUUAUCCCACGUCCUCAUGUACACUAGUGUAAUACUUGUAGAGAUCUCUAUAUGGAUUGGAUUUGACAUUGAGGCGUCCCCCAACGAUAAUCACAAUUCAGACUUCAUGAGACGGAUUUGAGUAUCACUGAUCAAUGGAUCAGGUUGUGCCAAGCUCGCUUUCU